rnacentral:tRNA from 1 species
GGCCAUGGCUCAGUGGAAAGAGAAUCUGCUUGGCAUGUAAGAGGUCCCAGGUUCAAUCCCCGGAAUCUCCA